CCGUAGGGUGCUCUCUUUCCUCUUCCUUCCUGGUCUUCCCUCUUGCUCCUUCUUUUCUCUCCUCCCUUUUUUCCCUCCCCUUUCUUCCCCUUUUCCUUUCUCUUGUGACUGGCGGGCUGGAGUACGGCAGAGGGGGGUGGAAUUCCACGUGUAGCAGUGAAAUGCGUAGAGAUGUGGAGGAACACCGAUGGCGAAGGCAGCCCCCUGGGCCGAUACUGACGCUCAUGCACGAAAGCGUGGGGAGCAAACAG
rnacentral:rRNA from 1 species